rnacentral:rRNA from 1 species
GAUGAACGCUGGCGGCGUGCCUAACACAUGCAAGUCGAACGAAGCUCCCCGAAUUGAGUUUUCGGACAAGAAGAAGGGAUGACUUAGUGGCGGACGGGUGAGUAACGCGUGAGCAACCUGCCUCGGAGUGGGGGACAACAGUUGGAAACGACUGCUAAUACCGCAUGAUGUGCAGAGGGGACAUCCCCUUUGUACCAAAGAUUUAUCGCUCUGAGAUGGGCUCACGUCUGAUUAGUUAGUUGGUAGGGUAACGGCCUACCAAGACUGCGAUCAGUAGCCGGACUGAGAGGUCGAACGGCCACAUUGGGACUGAGAUACGGCCCAGACUCCUACGGGAGGCAGCAGUGGGGAAUAUUGGGCAAUGGGCGAAAGCCUGACCCAGCAACGCCGCGUGAAGGAAGAAGGCCUUCGGGUUGUAAACUUCUUUUAUGAGGGACGAAGGAAGUGACGGUACCUCAUGAAUAAGCCACGGCUAACUACGUG